AUUGAACGCUGGCGGCAUGCCUUACACAUGCAAGUCGAACGGUAACAGGUCUUCGGAUGCUGACGAGUGGCGAACGGGUGAGUAAUACAUCGGAACGUGCCCGAUCGUGGGGGAUAACGGAGCGAAAGCUUUGCUAAUACCGCAUACGAUCUACGGAUGAAAGCAGGGGACCGCAAGGCCUUGCGCGGACGGAGCUGCCGAUGGCAGAUUAGGGAAUUGGUGGGAUAAAAGCUUACCAAGCCGACGAUCUGUAGCUGGUCUGAGAGGACGACCAGCCACACUGGGACUGAGACACGGCCCAGACUCCUACGGGAGGCAGCAGUGGGGAAUUUUGGACAAUGGGCGAAAGCCUGAUCCAGCCAUGCCGCGUGCAGGAUGAAGGCCUUCGGGUUGUAAACUGCUUUUGUACGGAACGAAAAGCCUCUUUCUAAUAAAGAGAGGUCAUGACGGUACCGUAAGAAUAAGCACCGGCUAACUACGUGCCAGCCGCCGCGGUAACAC
rnacentral:rRNA from 1 species